GGGGAUUUAGCUCAGUGGUAGAGCGCUUGCCUAGCAAGCAUAAGGCCCUGGGUUCAGUCCCCA
rfam:Rattus norvegicus chromosome 1, whole genome shotgun sequence.